UCAAGCUACAAAGGGCGCAUGGUGAAUGCCUUGGCAUCAGGAGCCGAUGAAGGACGUGAUAAGCUGCGAUAAGCUUCGGGUAGGCGCACAUAGCCAGUGAUCCGAAGAUUUCCGAAUGAGGGAACUCACAUGGGAAACCCCAUGUAUCCUGUAAUGAAUAAAUAGUUGCAGGAAGGUAAACCUAGGGAACUGAAACAUCUAAGUACCUAGAGGAAGAGAAAGAAAAAUCGAUUUUCUUAGUAGCGGCGAGCGAAAAGGAAAGAGCCCAAACCAGAGAUUUAUCUCUGGGGUUGCGGACAGAACAUAACGUGAAAUUAUGAUUAACCGAACACAACUGGAAAGUUGGACCGUAGGAGGUAAUAGUCCUGUAAGUAAAAGUCAUAAUGAUCAGUUCUGCACCAGAGUACCACGAGACACGUGAAACCUUGUGGGAAGCAGGGAGGACCACCUCCCAAGGCUAAAUACUACCUGAUGACCGAUAGUGAAGCAGUACCGUGAGGGAAAGGUGAAAAGAACCCCGGGAGGGGAGUGAAAUAGAACCUGAAACCAUGUGCCUACAACCGAUCAAAGCACCUUAUGUGUGUGAUGAUGUGCUUUUUGUAGAACGAGCCAACGAGUUACGGUAUGUAGCGAGGUUAAGUACUUAAGGUACGGAGCCGAAGGGAAACCGAGUCUUAAUAGGGCGACUAGUUGCAUGCUGUAGACCCGAAACCGGGUGACCUAUCCAUGGCCAGGUUGAAGCGAGGGUAAAACCUCGUGGAGGACCGAACCACGUUGCUGUUGAAAAAGCAUGGGAUGAGCUGUGGAUAGCGGAGAAAUUCCAAUCGAACUCGGAUAUAGCUGGUUCUCCUCGAAAUAGCUUUAGGGCUAGCGUCGUGAAAUGUGAGUACUGGAGGUAGAGCACUGAAUAGGCUAGGGGGCAUAGCGCUUACCGAACCUUAUCAAACUCCGAAUGCCAGAUACUAUCAGCACGGCAGUCAGACUAUGAAAGAUAAGUUCCAUGGUCAAAAGGGAAACAGCCCAGAUCGUCAGCUAAGGUCCCAAAGUGUAAGUUAAGUGGAAAAGGAUGUGGGAUUUCUAAGACAACUAGGAUGUUGGCUUAGAAGCAGCCACUCAUUAAAAGAGUGCGUAAUAGCUCACUAGUCAAGAGAUCCUGCGCCGAAAAUGUCCGGGGCUCAAACUUACCACCGAAGCUACGGGUUCAUACUUUGUAUGAGCGGUAGAGGAGCGUCGUAAUCGGGCUGAAGUCGUACCGUAAGGAGCGGUGGACUGAUUACGAGUGAGAAUGUUGGCAUUAGUAGCGAGAUGUAGGUGAGAAUCCUACAGGCCGAAUAUCUAAGGUUUCCUGAGUAAAGUUUGUCUUCUCAGGGUUAGUCGGGACCUAAGGCGAGGCCGAGAGGCGUAGUCGAUGGACAAUUGGUUGAUAUUCCAAUACCACUAUAAUCGUUAUUAUCGAUGGUGUGACGGAGAAGGAUAGGAUGUGCCAGCUAUUGGAUGCUGGUCUAAGCGUUGAGGGAGUUAGAACAGGCAAAUCCGUUCUAACAAUCCUAGGGCGUGAUGGGGAAGGUUCUACGGAACCGAAGUAUCUGAUUUCAUGCUUCCAAGAAAAGCAUCUAGAAAGAGAAGUAGUGCCCGUACCGCAAACCGACACAGGUAGAUGAGGAGAGAAUCCUAAGGCCAUCGGAAGAAUUGCAGUUAAGGAACUAGGCAAAUUGACCCCGUAAGUUAGCGAGAAGGGGUGCCUGCGAGAGCAGGCCGCAGAGAAUAGGCCCAAGCAACUGUUUAGCAAAAACACAGGUCUCUGCUAAAGCGUAAGCUGAUGUAUAGGGGCUGACGCCUGCCCGGUGCUGGAAGGUUAAGGGGAACACUUAGCGCAAGCGAAGGUGUGAACUUAAGCCCCAGUAAACGGCGGCCGUAACUAUAACGGUCCUAAGGUAGCGAAAUUCCUUGUC
rnacentral:rRNA from 1 species